UAAAGGUGCAGGACCAGCACCCAGGGGCAGGUAGCAGACCCUUGCUGAGAGAAAGAAGGAAGAAUUCCAGGUUGCAGGUGCCACCAGGCCAAUCUGCAUCUUCAAAUACGUCAGGGUUUUCAGUUGGCGGCUUGACAAGUGCAUGCUGCACAGCCUCUCCCACCCCACCUGCAGGGCUAGUACGUGACACAUUUGGGUGGCGAAUGCUUGGAAUGCCUAGAAGAUCUGGCUCUAGCCAUCGAGCUGCGUGCUGCUGCUACAGAAAACAGCAAUAAAUUGAAUGCAAGUAUUACUUCUUCAAAGAUUUGCUUCUUAUCCACACUUUCAAGUAUGAAAAUGCUUUACCUUCCUGUCUCAAAAUUGAUGAGGAGGCCCCAUCUCCCCACAGAGGAGAGAGCGACAGAACCUGCACACGGAGCACCUUAA